rnacentral:rRNA from 1 species
ACGAACGCUGGCGGCGUGGAUAAGACAUGCAAGUCGAACGAGAGAAUUGCUAGCUUGCUAAUAAUUCUCUAGUGGCGCACGGGUGAGUAACACGUGAGUAACCUGCCCCCGAGAGCGGGAUAGCCCUGGGAAACUGGGAUUAAUACCGCAUAGUAUCGAAAGAUUAAAGCAGCAAUGCGCUUGGGGAUGGGCUCGCGGCCUAUUAGUUAGUUGGUGAGGUAACGGCUCACCAAGGCGAUGACGGGUAGCCGGUCUGAGAGGAUGUCCGGCCACACUGGAACUGAGACACGGUCCAGACACCUACGGGUGGCAGCAGUCGAGAAUCAUUCACAAUGGGGGAAACCCUGAUGGUGCGACGCCGCGUGGGGGAAUGAAGGUCUUCGGAUUGUAAACCCCUGUCAUGUGGGAGCAAAUUAAAAAGAUAGUACCACAAGAGGAAGAGACGGCUAACUCUGUGCCAGCAGCCGCGGUAAUACAGAGGUCUCAAGCGUUGUUCGGAAUCACUGGGCGUAAAGCGUGCGUAGGCUGUUUCGUAAGUCGUGUGUGAAAGUCGCGGGCUCAACCCGCGGACGGCACAUGAUACUGCGAGACUAGAGUAAUGGAGGGGGAACCGGAAUUCUCGGUGUAGCAGUGAAAUGCGUAGAUAUCGAGAGGAACACUCGUGGCGAAGGCGGGUUCCUGGACAUUAACUGACGCUGAGGCACGAAGGCCAGGGGAGCGAAAGGGAUUAGAUACCCCUGUAGUCCUGGCAGUAAACGGUGCACGCUUGGUGUGCGGGGAAUCGACCCCCUGCGUGCCGGAGCUAACGCGUUAAGCGUGCCGCCUGGGGAGUACGGUCGCAAGAUUAAAACUCAAAGAAAUUGACGGGGACCCGCACAAGCGGUGGAGUAUGUGGCUUAAUUCGAUGCAACGCGAAGAACCUUACCUGGGCUUGACAUGUAAUGAACAACAUGUGAAAGCAUGCGACUCUUCGGAGGCGUUACACAGGUGCUGCAUGGCCGUCGUCAGCUCGUGUCGUGAGAUGUUUGGUUAAGUCCAGCAACGAGCGCAACCCCUGUUGCCAGUUACCAGCACGUGAAGGUGGGGACUCUGGCGAGACUGCCCAGAUCAACUGGGAGGAAGGUGGGGACGACGUCAGGUCAGUAUGGCCCUUAUGCCCAGGGCUGCACACGUACUACAAUGCCCAGUACAGAGGGGGCCGAAGCCGCGAGGCGGAGGAAAUCCUAAAAACUGGGCCCAGUUCGGACUGUAGGCUGCAACCCGCCUACACGAAGCCGGAAUCGCUAGUAAUGGCGCAUCAGCUACGGCGCCGUGAAUACGUUCCCGGGUCUUGUACACACCGCCCGUCACAUCAUGGAAGCCGGUCGCACCCGAAGUAUCUGAAGCCAACCGCAAGGAGGCAGGGUCCUAAGGUGAGACUGGUAACUGGGAUG